ensembl:lncRNA
AUGUUGAUGAAUUUGCUCGCAGAGUUGUUUUAUGCUAUGCCUCUGUUGCUAUAUGUGCUCCCCGAUUUGCUGUUUAUCACCUUUGAGGGCAGGUUAAACGUUGCUUUUUAUUUUGUCCUUUUGCUGUACUGUGUAACACUUGCUUAUGAUAUGAUAGGAGCACUGGAUUUGAGCCUAAUCUGGUAUUUGCACUCUGCAUUGCUGUCACCCUUGUAUUUCAGGAACCAUCUCUUGGAAGCUAAUGAUUAUUCUUUUCACCUUUUCUCCCCUGAGACCCAACCUCUGGAGGAGACAAGGAGUAGCACCUUCCCUUCCUCCUUCAAUCCAGUUACAAUAGCUCUUGAGUACUGGGCAACCAGCAUGUUCCUAUUGCUAUGUCUCAGUGUGUUUCUGUUCUUUGAUAAUGCUAAACAACUAUUUAAGAAUACAAUCCACAGGUCUGCCCCGAGGCAGGAUAGUUAUGAGUGGCAGGGAGAGUGGGAGGAUAUGGGCAGGUUUCUAGAGCAGUGGGCACCUCCAGUGCUUUGGAAAUUCACCCCUGAACAACUGCAAAAUCCUAAAAAACUGGCAGAAUGCUUGAAAAAGGGAUAUCAUCGCCUUGGCUUUUCCAGACAGACACAAAUCGCAGCAGUGUGCUGGGGCCUGGCCUAUGCCUACCGAGCUGCACUUACCGCUAUUCAGCACCCUCCAGGGGAAGAGAAGGUCUCUGGAUCUGACAACAAAACGACAGACACUCCCACAACAAGCACUGCGGCUAAUCCAGCCCCUAUGGCAGGUGCUGCAGCUAAUCCAGCUCCUGCAGCAAACGCUGUGGCUGAAGCAGAGAACCAGCUCUCCGUGGUAUCACUUACCCCCACAGUCAAGGAGAAACAACAGCAGGAGGAGUCAGCUCAGUUAGUAAGGAAUGAAGCAGCUUCUCCUAAAAGAGAGCAGGAGGAAGGAUCAGAGGAGGAAAGCUGCUCUGAAGCAGAGCAAUGGGAGGAACAGGAGGGGGAUGAGACAGAAAUGAGUGACUCAGAAACCACCCGAUACCUAUCCCUGCGUGAGUUACGAUAUAUCCGAGAAGACUUCAGGCGUUUUCCAGGCGAGCAUAUAGUCACCUGGCUGCUCCGAUGCUGGGACACUGGGGCCGGUAGAUACAGACUGAAGGGCAAGGAAGCCCAGCAGCUGGGAUUCCUCGCUAGGCAUUGGGGCAUUGACAGAACGAUUGGAAAAGGGGCACAGGCCUCCACCCUCUGGAGGCGACUCCUGUCAGCUGUGAAGGAAAUGUAUCCCUUCAAGGAAGACCUUGUAUGUCAACUAGGCAAGUGGACCACCAUGGAGAGGGGAAUCCAGUACCUGAGGGAAUUAGCUGUGCUGGAGGUGGUCUAUAGUGACCUGGACAACGACCAGCUAUCCGCAGAUCCAGAUGAGGUCCAGUGCACGCGGUCCAUGUGGUUGAAGUUUGUACGGAGCGCACCACCGUUGCAUGCCAGCGCUCUGGCACUCGUGAACUGGAAAAGCAGAGAGGCACCAGUGGUGGACACCUUGGUCUGGAAACUCCAGCAAUACCAAGAAAAUAUCUCUUCCUCCUUUUCUGGUCAGAGUAUGAAUUACUAG